UACUCCAGCUCCAGGUAUCCAACACCUACCACAGGGCUCAGAGUUUCCUCUCCAUGGUCUUCUGAGCUGAGAGAAGGUGGGUCAGUGAUGGCUCUCUGGUUUGUUCACAGGAUUAACUUCUUUGGACCCACGUGGAGUGUGACUGGAAGCCAAAGUCUCUUGAGAAGGCAAUUCUCAAGCUACAGACUAGCACAGGGAGUGCUAUGAAUUCAGGAAGAGCUCCGGGGUGGAUGCUUUUCCCAGCGUUUACAUCAGGCUGAAGGACAAACUGUCUCGAAUCAGGUGGGUCAUCAUGGAGCCUGGUAUCUGCUCGUACUUCUUGCGAAGCCGCACCUGAGGGCACGUGCACGCCUACAAACAGCUCUGGGCUAUCACCAAGUGGAAAAAGCAAAGGCCUGGAAAAUUGCAUGUGAACCAGGCUAGAGCCCACCGUGCUGCCCUUUCUCUGGGAUAAGAUCAUCCCUUCGGAUCCGCAAUGUUACACUGGCUGCUGUGACAGCAAGGCACAAGGCAACAAGGCCAGGAACUGCUUGAAUUUUUUUGAUUUGCUGAAACUGGAACUUUUCAGAGGUCCUGAUAAAACUUCCCUUAAGAACGUGUUUCAAACCCAGGAAGGAGUUUGUUGUCAGACGUAGAGAGAAUGAGAAACGGCCAGAUAAAAAGGGCAUGAACUCGCAGUGUGAGCAACAGAGACCAAACUCCCUGCCCAUCUCUCUCGAGACAAGAUGCAUGAACCCACCGUCCUGCAUGUGGUGCAGAAUGGGAGGCAACAAGAAAGUGACCAACACUGCUCUGUGGGAACAGCUGUACCCAGAUCUCCCCAAAGGAUUUGAACGCAGAUGCCAGGUGAUGUCUGACAAGAGUUUGUACCUUAGCCGCUCCUCUUUUAAGGCUGAGAUAUCUGGGGCUGACGUUUACCUCAGCAUGACGUACAGAAGCCGUGACCAGAGAGGUUCAGAAAGCAACAGCUGCACCUCAGGGAACAACUUCUCCUGCAGCACCCUGCGGAAUGGGAAAGGGCUUUCUGCUUGGCACAGUGAUGUGGAGAUACCCCUCAAAUGGAUGUGUUUGGAUAGGGAUCUACCCGAACUACCCCAGCAGGACCUUGUCCUUUUCCUGGGUCACCUGUGAUGACGUGACCUUGAUGCACCAGUUCGAGUAUGAUUUUGUUGAGCCCCUUUACCCCAACUUUUGGCUUUUAAUGAAAGCAAGCUGUCAGGAUAAUGUGACUGGGGGAAAACGCUGCAAAGAUCCCAGCCUCCUUGCCUUCCUUUGUGGAGCUGCUCCCCUGAAACCAUCUGAUUCAGAAGAACUGUCCAGUGCUUCGGUUAUGGUGUGAUGCCAGUGCUUUUGCUGCAGGUAGCUGGGCGAAGAAGGGAGAGGUGUUUCAGUAAAGACUCUGGUAACCAAAUGUGGUUCUGAGCAUCCCAUAAUUUAGAGGUGGACAAGGCUUGCGAGUUCAUGCAGUUACUUGUCCGGGGGUCCGUGCAGAUUGUUCCCACCAGUAUAUCCAUUAAUACUGUGUUUAGCAUGAGUUAAAACUUUCUUUUAAUAUUUUUCCCCCCAAGGAUGGUGGCGUGCCUCUGCCCUGACGUGCUGGCCUUACCGAGCCCGUGCAAGCGAGCAGGCAGAAGCGAGGCAGACCAAGGUUGUGUUGCCAUUCUCCCUGCUGUGCCUGGAUAAACGGUCUCAGCCCCCAGCUCAGUUUCCAGCUGGCUCCAGGAUCAGGGUGGCACUGGGGCAGUGAAAGGUCCCCUUCGGUCCUCCCGCCCCCAGGUCUGCGCUGAGAACAAAGAGCUGAGAGUGAGGCUGGUGCAGGCAUUGCUUCUGGCAGGAGAGGCCACGCAGUGACCCCCAGGAACAGCCUGGAACCCCCUGCCUUCUCCAGAGGUAACCGGGGAGCGGGUGGGAAGCGCGGCCCCGAGCAGAGGAGCAGCAGCUCAGCUUCCACCCCGCAGGAGGGUGCUCUCAGCCCGCUGCUGGCCCCGCUGCCUUCCUCUCCCCCCUCCUCUCCCCCCUCCUCUGGCAGCCGUAGCAGGGACAGGGCCCUGCAGCCCCCAGCACCCGCGGGGCACGGGCACCCCGAUGGUCCCCCCCUUCCCUGUCCCCCGACCUCCCGCCACCCCCAGCCCUGCCGCUGCGCCCUCCUCGCUCGCUGCCGCGGGACCCCACAGGGGUCCCACGUUAAAGGUGGGUGACUGAGGGGUGCUCCCCUGUUGGGUGAUGUCUUAGCACCCCUGCACCCUGCCCACGCUCCCCUUCCCCUUGGGAGAGUCGCUCUUGAGCGCGGCUUUCGGAGCCCCACGGUGGCAGGGGGGACGGUGUAAGAGGUCCCAUCGCGGGUUAAUUUAGCUGUGCACCCUGCAGAGUGACCUUUGCAGUCCCCUCGUGCCCAGGGCCAGGGGUGGGAGGCACGGAAAAGUCCCCGCACACGCUGUUGCUGUCAGCAGGAUGGGCCAAGCUGCGGGCAGCAGACUGGUGCAGCUGCAGGGGCUGCUGAGAAACGAAAUACUUCCACCCUCCAUAAGUCAGCAGAGCCAGAAGGAGAAAGAAGCUUUUACAAAGCGCUUUGCAGGGGAGGGGAGUCCAUAAUCGGCCCAUUCUGCAAGUGGGGAAACUGAGGCAGGGACUGGGGAAAGCGUUUGCCAGCCGUCACCUAGCAGAGAUAUGGCUUUAGGUCUCAGGGUGCCUGGUCGGCACUGGCCCAAAUGCAGUGUUAGUACCAAGUUACUGCCUUUAUCCCAGGUACUUUCUGCCUUGGGCUGUGAUGGAUAAACAUUUAUUGUGCUCUGUCCUCAUUUUGCCUGGGAUAGAGUUAAUUUUCUUCCUAGCAGCUGAUAUACUGUUGUGCUUUGGAUUUAGUAUGGGCAUAACAUGUGGUAACACACUGAUAUUUUAGUUGUUGUUAAGUAGUGCUUAUACUAAAACAAGGACUUUUCAGCUUCCCAUGCUCUGCUGGGUACACAAGAAGUUGGGAGGGGGCACAGCCAGGACAGCUGACCCCAACUGGCCAAAGGGAUAUUCCAUACCGUAUGAUGUUACGCUCAGCACAUAAACGAGGGGGAGUUGGCUGGGGGGCAGCGAUCGUGGGUCAGGGACAGGCUGAGCAUCAGUUGGCAGCAGGUGAGUGGAUGCAUCACUUGUUUUUCCUGAGUUUUCUUCCUCUCUCUUUUAUUAUUUAUUAUUAUUAUUAACAAUAAUAUUAAU